rnacentral:lncRNA from 1 species
GUGCCUUUUUAAAUUAAACAAAUUUUAAUUUAAUUUACUUCCGUUGCACAUAAAUUGUUUAUGAAAAAUUUUUAAACUACAUGCAUGAAACCAUCGGUUUCUAACAAAAGUGCAGUUACUAUGUGAUUCAGUUCUUCUAUCAUGAGUCCUGAUAGGAGAAGCCAAAGUUAACUCAUCAAAUCUCAUACCUAUCAUAUGAUAGAAUCAUUCGAUUCG